CUACGGGCGGCUCCAGUGGGGAAUAUUGCACAAUGGAGGAAACUCUGAUGCAGCAACGCCGCGUGGAGGAUGACGCAUUUCGGUGUGUAAACUCCUUUUAUAUGUCAAGAAAAUGACGGUAGCAUAUGAAUAAGCACCGGCUAACUCCGUGCCAGCAGCCGCGGUAAUACGGAGGGUGCAAGCGUUACUCGGAAUCACUGGGCGUAAAGGACGCGUAGGCGGGUUGGAACGUCAGGUGUGAAAUCCUACAGCUUAACUGUAGAACUGCACUUGAAACUUCUAAUCUAGAGUAUGGGAGGGGGAGAUGGAAUUAGUGGUGUAGGGGUAAAAUCCGUAGAUAUCACUAGGAAUACCUAAAGCGAAGGCGAUCUCCUGGAACAUUACUGACGCUAAGGCGUGAAAGCGUGGGGAGCAAACAGGAUUAGAUACCCCGGUAGUC
rnacentral:rRNA from 1 species